rnacentral:rRNA from 1 species
GACGAACGCUGGCGGCGUGCUUAACACAUGCAAGUCGAACGGAAAGGCCCUGCUUUUGUGGGGUGCUCGAGUGGCGAACGGGUGAGUAACACGUGAGUAACCUGCCCUUGACUUUGGGAUAACUUCAGGAAACUGGGGCUAAUACCGGAUAGGAGCUCCUGCUGCAUGGUGGGGGUUGGAAAGUUUCGGCGGUUGGGGAUGGACUCGCGGCUUAUCAGCUUGUUGGUGGGGUAGUGGCUUACCAAGGCUUUGACGGGUAGCCGGCCUGAGAGGGUGACCGGCCACAUUGGGACUGAGAUACGGCCCAGACUCCUACGGGAGGCAGCAGUGGGGAAUAUUGCACAAUGGGCGGAAGCCUGAUGCAGCAACGCCGCGUGCGGGAUGGCGGCCUUCGGGUUGUAAACCGCUUUCGCCUGUGACGAAGCGUGAGUGACGGUAAUGGGUAAAGAGGCACCGGCUAACUACGUG